ACUCAAAUGAAUUGACGGGGGCCCGCACAAGCGGCGGAGCAUGUGGCUUAAUUCGAAGCGACGCGAAGAACCUUACCUGGGUUUGACAUGCAGGGAAAAGCCGUAGAGAUACGGUGUCCUUCGGGGCCCUGCACAGGUGGUGCAUGGCUGUCGUCAGCUCGUGUCGUGAGAUGUUGGGUUAAGUCCCGCAACGAGCGCAACCCUUGUCCUGUGUUGCCAGCGGAUCAUGCCGGGGACUCGCAGGAGACUGCCGGGGUCAACUCGGAGGAAGGUGGGGACGACGUCAAGUCAUCAUGCCCCUUACGUCCAGGGCUGCACACAUGCUACAAUGGCCGGUACAGAGGGAUGCGAUUUCGCGAGAAUGAGCGAAUCCCAAAAAACCGGUCUCAGUUCGGAUCGCAGUCUGCAACUCGACUGCGUGAAGUCGGAGUCGCUAGUAAUCCCGGAUCAGCAACGCCGGGGUGAAUACGUUCCCGGGCCUUGCACACACCGCCCGU
rnacentral:rRNA from 1 species